UAGGAAAUAAAGAACAAAACAUCCUGGGUUAGAAAACAAGAUUGAAAAAUUAAAAUAUAUGAGGAAGUAGAAAAUUAAUAACAAAACAUCCUGGACUAGAAAACGAAAUACAAAUGAAAAUAUAAGAAGAAGUAGGAAGAAGAGAACAAUACAUCUUGAACCAGAAAACGAACUAACUGGGAUAACUGAAAAAAAAAUUAUGUGUAUAGUGAAGAAAAAGAAAGAAAAUAUACGCGGAAGUGGGAAGAAAAGAAAACACCAUCUUGGACCAGUCAUCAAAAUACCUUGGAGAACUGGAAGAAAAAUAAUCGUGAAUUUAGUGUUACAAAAAUGAAAAUAUGUAAAGAAACAGGGAAAAAAAUGACAAAAUACCCUCCAUAAUACAUCAAAAUACAAGUUUGAGCCAGACAUGAGAUAACAUAAUCGCCCCACUUAUAUGAGCUUUUGAAAGUGUUACCUUAUCAGUCAAUAUAGAGGCAUGAGAUAAGGCGAGGACUUCUAUAUUUGCCCCACUUAACUAAGCUCUGAAUUCUUUCCUUAAGUGGUUACGAUGGAAAACAUGUUAAAAAUGCUAAGGAAAGACUGAUAGGUAUUCAUUAUCUAUAUCCAAAGGUCAAAAAGGAGAACAAUCGGGUUUUCAAGAGUGUUUUUUUUAGGUUCAUGGUACAGAAGAACGAUCGGACUACGAGAAGGGUCAUAAAAUUACCCCUGGAAAUGCUCAAAAAGAAGAUAAAUCGGGUUCUCAAAAGUGUUUUUUUUAGGUUCAUGGUACAGAAGAACGGUCGGACUACGAGAAGGGUCAUAAAACUACCCCUGGAAAUGCUCAAAAAGAAGAUAAAUCAGGAUCUCAAGAGUGGGUUUUUCUAUGUUCAAGGUGCAGAAGAACGGUCAGACUACCAGAAGGGCCAUAAAACCACCCCUGGAAAUGCUCAAAAAGAAGAUAAAUCGGGUUCUCAAAAGUGUUUUUUUUAGGUUCAUGGUACAGAAGAACGGUCAGAGUACCAGAAGGGCCAUAAAACUACCCUUGGAAAUGCUCAGUACUUCUAUACGAAAGCCUUGUCAUAUAUGUAUGCUUGGGCGCCGAAAUGUUUAAGAAUGUGACCCUUUGUAACUUUGAUUAUUAGCUGACUUUCAUCGUUCUAACCAGCAAAGUAAUCAACAUACAUUAUAAUGCCAAAAAAAAAAAAAAAUGGAAGGAGUGGAGUCAUUCAGUAGGAUGGCUGACGGAUUCUUCUCUUUUUUUUUUUUUUUCCUUUCGUGGUGUUCGAUUCCACAAAUUGAUCGUCGUUUAAUAGAGGCAAUGAAAGAGCGCAGUGGAAAUCCUCUAUGUAUUCGUUUUUUUUUUCUCUUAUUUCCUCUUUCUUUAUAUUUCUUUUUAUCGCCCUCUCUUCCUUUUUCCCUCCUUCUUUGCUAUGUCUUAUCAUUCCUGCAUUCUUCCCUCAUUCGUUCACCUUUCACUUCAUUUUCCUGUCUUGCUUGUCUUCUGUUUUCUUCUUAUUCCCUUUCACCUCUCGUUUAUCCACCUCUUAGUUCUUCCCCUUCAUGCCUAUUUACCCCUUUCCCUUAUACCCAUCUCUCUUUUCCUUCGCUUUAGUCUUCUUUUUAUUAUCUAUACCUUCCUCUGUUCCUUUCUUCUUACUUUUAAAAAGCCUCUUCAUCUCGCUUCCUCUUCGCUUUGGUUCUCUUUUCCUCCAUACUCAUCUUCUUCUCCUCCUCUUCUUACUCUUUCGAAAUCAGCAUCCGUUGUGUUCUCCUCCUUUUCUCCUCUCUUAUCCUCUUCUUCCUCUAAAACUUUCUCUUUCAUAUUUUUCAACCCUGAUGCAGAGGGCGGUUACCUGGCCUUGCCGAAAGACGGUGAAAGUGGUUGCUGGUAUUUCCAUGUAUUGUUCUUUUUUUUUUUGUUGUUUCUUUUUCGUUUGUGUAAUGGAAUAUAUAGAAAAAAGUAACAGUUGUGGUUUCAUUGAUAUCUGUUUUGUGUUUCAUGUUUUCCUUCGUUGACCUCUUUGUUUAUAUUAUGUCUAUGUUUAUUUUAUUCAUUCAUUUAUUCAUUGGUUUUAUCUUUAUUUAAUAUUCAAUAAUUCCUUGUCAUUUAUGUCUUUUUUUUUCUUUAUUUUACAAUAUAUUUUUUGUUAGGAUAAAUGUUAAUGUACUCCUAUCACCAUCACCAUCACUUUCAUCAUCAUCAGCAUAAUCAUCCUUGCAAUUAUCAUCAUAGUCCCGUCAGUUUUUUUUUCUUUUCUUAUUUUUCAACCUUUUUUGGGCGGGGGGCGGGGGGGGGAGGUAUCACUUUCUCUCCAUGUUAUUUUUCGAUGACGUCCUACGACUGGACUUAACUCUCCCCUAAUCUGACCCUCACUUCGUAUUACGUAAGACAACGGCAAUGACGACACUAGGGCUUAUGUACGGAGCAGGUGGGCAAUGCAUCCACGUCUUGUUUUCUGGAUCUGCUUACUUCGCGGCGCCCACCCUCAACACCCCCGAUAGAUAACGUUGUGGGUGAUGUCGGCCGUGCUGAACAUUGUUAUCAUCGGGCGAGGCGCCGCGUGGCACUACGGGGGAUUGUGGCUAACCUUUGCCUCGCGGCCUUGAAGUGAUAACGAAGAAGAGGAUAACGCUGUGCUGGCGAGCUUCGUCAUCGUGAAAACGUGGUUCUGAUUAAAGAGUUUGUUAGAAGAAGAAGUGAAGUGAGAGAGAGAGAGAGAGAGAGAGAGAGAGAGAGAGAGAGAGAGAGAGAGAGAGAGAGAGAGAGAGAGAGAGAGAGAGAGAGAGAGAGAGAGAGAGAGAGA